rfam:Ciona savignyi cont_15923, whole genome shotgun sequence.
GUCUCUGUGGCCCAAUUGGUUAGCGCGUUCGGCUGUUAACCGAAAGGUUGGUGGUUCAAGCCCAGCCAGGGACG